rnacentral:lncRNA from 1 species
CGUUUUACAAAAUACAUGGAAAAGCUCUUCUUUUAUAGUUGAAAUUUAUCAUUUCAUUUCUCAAUUGAAUUCAUAUUUUAUCCUUUACGCUUGAAAGCUUUUUACUAAUCACUCUGCAAUGAAAGUGCCGUCCACUGGAGAGUACCUGGACUCUGUGUUUGAAGAUCUCUGUCUAAGAAAUUCACCAUAGGAAUGUGAGCUACAUCUGGCAUGACCUCAGUUGGUGUCAAGAUUUCAAAAGCCCAUGUAAUACGUCACACAUUCCUGACUCAAAAUCCUUGCCUACCAUGUAAAGGGGUUUGCACGUUACAAAGAGCCUGGAAGAAACGGCCGGGGCACACUCUGAAGGAUUGGAAAGGAACCCAAUUUGAAUACUUCGGCCACCGCAAGUGGGAAGUGGUAAAUUAAG